rnacentral:rRNA from 1 species
AGUAACCUGCCUUGGAGUGGGGAAUAACAGUUGGAAACAGCUGCUAAUACCGCAUGAUGCAGUUGAGUCGCAUGGCUCUGACUGCCAAAGAUUUAUCGCUCUGAGAUGGACUCGCGUCUGAUUAGCUAGUUGGCGGGGUAACGGCCCACCAAGGCGACGAUCAGUAGCCGGACUGAGAGGUUGGCCGGCCACAUUGGGACUGAGACACGGCCCAGACUCCUACGGGAGGCAGCAG